CGUGAUUUGGGCUAUAUUACGGACCCAAAAUUACUUGUUCAAGCAUUGUUUUCGAAUUUUUUCAUGCAUCAAAGCUCGUUAAGACUAGAUGGGGUAUCCCUACAUAGCGGGUGGGACCCACGGCGAAUGGUUCAUCAAGUCUUCAAAAAAGAAUAUAUACGAUUGCAUUGCAUAUACUAACGGAUGCGAUCAUACCAGCACUAAUGCACCGGAUCCCAUCAGAACUCCGCAGUUAAGCGUGCUUGGGCGAGAGUAGUACUAGGAUGGGUGACCUCCCGGGAAGUCCUCGUGUUGCAUCCCUCUUUUAUGUUUAACCUUUUUUUUUUUGGUUAAAACUUUAUGACUCCAUAACUUUUAGACCGUGAGGCCAAACUUGGCAUGUGAUACCUUUUCGGAAAGCCCAAAGACAGCCCUCCGACGAAAGAAGCAGGACAAUGGAACUUUUCCAUUGACUUUUUGUCGACCCCAAAUUUUGACCUUUAAGUACUUUUUCGGG
rnacentral:rRNA from 1 species